rnacentral:rRNA from 1 species
CAGUCGCCACGGGAAUACGUAGGGUGUGAGCGUUAAUCGGAAUUACUUGGCGUAAAGCGUGCGCAGGCGGUUUUGUAAGACAGGCGUGAAAUCCCCGGGCUCAGCCUGGGAAUGGCGCUUGUGACUGCAAAGCUAGAGUGCGGCAGAGGGGGAUGGAAUUCCGCGUGUAGCAGUGAAAUGCGUAGAUAUGCGGAGGAACACCGAUGGCGAAGGCAAUCCCCUGGGCCUGCACUGACGCUCAUGCACGAAAGCGUGGGGAGCAAACAGGAUUAGAUACCCCGGUAGUCCCUGUCUCUUAUAC